rnacentral:rRNA from 1 species
UACAGAGGUCUCAAGCGUUGUUCGGAUUCAUUGGGCGUAAAGAGCUCGUAGGCGGUUUGGUAAGUCGGGUGUGAAAACCCCAGGCUCAACCUGGGGGACGCCACCUGAUACUGCUAUGACUUGAGUCUGGUAGGGGACCACGGAAUUCCUGGUGUAGCGGUGGAAUGUGCAGAUAUCAGGAGGAACACCGGUGGCGAAGGCGGGUCUCUGGGCAGUAACUGACGCUGAGGAGCGAAAGCGUGGGGAGCGAACAGG